rnacentral:rRNA from 1 species
GUCCACGCUGUAAACGAUGCCGGCUCGUUCUUUGUCCUGCGUUAAGCAGGGUGAGGGGCUUAGCUCACGCGGUAAGCCGGCCGCCUGGGGAGUACGAGCGCAAGCUUAAAACUCAAAGGAAUUGACGGGGGCCCGCACAAGCAGCGGAGCGUGUGGUUUAAUUCGACGCAACGCGAAGCACCUUACCCAGGCUUGACAUGCACCUGCAAACGCCUGAAAGGGCGCGCCUUCGAGGGUGGUGCACAGGUGCUGCAUGGUUGUCGU